rnacentral:misc_RNA from 1 species
GAAGGUUGAAGGUCAUGAUGAUCAUCAAGAAGGAACUUCAGCAUCAUCAUCAUCAUCUCAAUCAAAAAUCAUAAAAGGACAGUGGGAAAGGAGGCUUCAAACUGACAUUCACACUGCUAAACAAGCUCUUUGUGAUGCUUUGUCACUUGAUACAACUCCAAAUAACAAAAACAACAACAAUAAUCCACCUCCUCAUGAUCAGGAUCAACAACCACCAUCAGUUCAAACACCUACUACCUAUGCUUCAAGUGCUGAAAACAUUGCUAAGUUGCUUCAAAAUUGGAUGAAAAAUUCACCCAAAUCGACCUCGUCUAGUAGCUCGAAAAUUACUCCUAUGUCAUCCUUGA